rnacentral:ncRNA from 2 species
CCCGUGUCACGCGGUACGGUCUGUCCGAUAUCGACGACGGUACGACGGAAGCCGGUGGAAAUCCGGCACGGUCGCGCCACUGUAUGCCGGGCGCCCCUGGGGGCCCGGUGAGUCAGACCCGUGGCCGUCGUCCUGUGCACCA